AACGCCGGCGGUGUGCCUAAUACAUGCAAGUCGAACGCGUUGGCCCAAUUGAUUGAUGGUGCUUGCACCUGAUUGAUUUUGGUCGCCAACGAGUGGCGGACGGGUGAGUAACACGUAGGUAACCUGCCCAGAAGCGGGGGACAACAUUUGGAAACAGAUGCUAAUACCGCAUAACANCGUUGUUCGCAUGAACAACGCUUAAAAGAUGGCUUCUCGCUAUCACUUCUGGAUGGACCUGCGGUGCAUUAGCUUGUUGGUGGGGUAACGGCCUACCAAGGCGAUGAUGCAUAGCCGAGUUGAGAGACUGAUCGGCCACAAUGGGACUGAGACACGGCCCAUACUCCUACGGGAGGCAGCAGUAGGGAAUCUUCCACAAUGGGCGCAAGCCUGAUGGAGCAACACCGCGUGAGUGAAGAAGGGUUUCGGCUCGUAAAGCUCUGU
rnacentral:rRNA from 2 species